rnacentral:rRNA from 1 species
GACGAACGCUGGCGGCGUGCUUAACACAUGCAAGUCGAACGGAGCGAAUGAAAGCUUGCUUUUAUGAGCUUAGUGGCAAACGGGUGAGUAACACGUAGACAACCUGCCGACAGGAUGGGGACAACAUUCCGAAAGGAAUGCUAAUACCGAAUGAAGCGGAGGAGAGGCAUCUCUCCUCCGUGAAAGAUGGCCUCUGAACAUGCUAUCACCUGUCGAUGGGUCUGCGUCUGAUUAGCUGGUUGGUGAGGUAACGGCUCACCAAGGCGACGAUCAGUAGCCGGUCUGAGAGGAUGAACGGCCACAUUGGGACUGAGACACGGCCCAGACUCCUACGGGAGGCAGCAGUGGGGAAUCUUCCGCAAUGGGCGCAAGCCUGACGGAGCAACGCCGCGUGAGUGAAGAAGGUCUUCGGAUCGUAAAGCUCUGUUGACGGGGACGAACGUACGAGAGGUGAAUAAACUCUUGCAAUGACGUACCUUCGAGGAGCCAC